rnacentral:lncRNA from 1 species
UUAGAUGUUGUGCCGAUGUCAUUGCUAGGAGCUUUUGAAACACUUUCACUGUGCUUACCUUGCAGACCAUGCACUCAGUGGCCCGGUGCUGGGCCUUCUGGGUUUAUGUCAGAAAUUUCUUUGACUUUCACUCACAGUGAGAUGGGGGAAGAUGAGGGUUAGGAGGAUCCCUUGGGGUGUGUAUGGGCAAGGUGGGAGCAGGGAGCCAGGUCAGGAGGCCACUGUCCCCAUCCAGGUGGGAGAUGGUGGGGGUCUGGACCUGGCAGGGCUGCAGAAAUCUGGGCAGUAGCCAGGUUCUGGGUAUGUUUUUUUUUUUUUUUUUUUUUUUUUUUUGAGACAGAAUCUUGCACUGUCACCCAGGCUGGAGUGCAGUGGCACGAUCUCCGCUUACUGCAAGCUCUGCCUCCCGGGUUCACGCCAUUCUCCUGCCUCAGCCUCCCAAGUAGCUGGGACUACAGGCGCCCGCCACCACGCCCGGCUAAUUUUUUGUAUUUUUAGUAGAGAUGAGGUUUCAUCAUGUUAGCCAGGAUGGUCUUGAUCUCCUGACCCCGUGAUCCGCCCACCUUGGCCUCCCAAAGUGCUGGGAUUACAGGUGUGAGCCACCGCACCUGGACGAUUCUGGGUAUGUUUUAAAGAUGACCUGACAGACCUUGCUAGAGGACUGGGCAGAGUGAGAGGGGAGCUGAGGAUGACUCUGAGGGCUGGGAGCAGAGCAGCUGGAGGCAGAGCUGCCAUCAUCUGAGAUGAGGGCGGCUGUGGGUGCAGUAGGUUAGUGGAGGGGUUGAGUUCAGGACACAUCGAAGUGUCUCCUAGACACGCAAGUGGAGGUGUCAAGAAGGUCUGAGAAGUCUGGAGUUGGGGGGAGAAUUCUGGGCUGCAGGCACACUUUGGAAGUUGUCAGGGCAUGGACAGUGCUUAUAGCCGUCAGCUGUUCGGCCUCACCUGGCGCUCAUGGUUUUUUUUUUUUUUUUUUUUGAGAUGGAGUCUCACUCUGUUGGCCAGGCUAGAGUGUAGUGGGGUGAUCUGGGCUCACUGCAACCUCCGCCUAGCUGGCUUCAAGCUAUUCUUCCUCAGCCAUCUGAGUAGCUGGGAUUACAGGCACAUGUCACCAUGCCUGGCUAAUUUUUGUAUUUUUAGUAGAGAUGAGGUUUCAUCAUGUUGGCCAGGUCUUGAACCCCUGACCUCAAGUGAUCUGCCCAGCUCGGCCUCCCAAAGUGCUGGGAUUACAGGCGUGAGCCACCAUGCCUAGCCUCUGGCACUCAUGUUUACUUGGUGGUCUUGUAAUUUCAGACACACCAGCUGCCCUCCCAAGGCUGGCUCCUCUUAAGGCUUACCCGUGUUGGCUGCCCUCACAUGAUCCUGGCAUGUAGUCAGUGCUCAGGACAGUUGUGUGUGGGCAGAAGCUGCGCAGCCCAAAGGAGGACCCUCAGGCCCAGGGGGUUGAGGGAUUUGCCUAAGAUCACGCAGAGAUGGCAGCUGGCCUGAACUGCAACCUGGUGGGGGUGAGCAGCCCACAUGUUACCCGCCCCCCGGGCUCUUUCCACCAUUUCCUGUUCUGUUCUGCAGAACUGGCCACAGUGUCAAAAGGCUUUGGAGAAAUUACAGAAGUUCUUGGGGUAGACGGAACCUACAUCAAAGGGAGGCAGAUGGGGAUGAGAAAAGCAUUCCUGAGUCAAGGAAUGGAAAGAAAGAUUGCUGCUGUCCUCUCACCAAGGACACUCUAAGGCCAGGGGCCAGAUCUUCUGCCUUGGCUGGCCUCUGUUGAGGGUGGGUAAGGGAAGGAAGGAAUGCUCAGCUUGGUGUUCUCAGCCCCCUUGCUGAGUCUGCGGAGCCAGAGCUACAGCUGUCUUGAUGCUCCCUGAGCAAGUCCCGAGUUGCCUGGUACCUUGCAGUUCUUGGUGGGAGUUUAACUGCCCAGCAUUCCCGUUCUC